AUAUGUGCCUUUUAUUGUCUUAGCCUUACUACACACAUGUAAGAAAUGCAUCAGAUUAGCUUUAGGAAAUUUAAAGAAGGUUAACACUGCCUCCUCCUUCACGUUGAUGGCUUUUGAAAUUGGUGCUCGUAUGUGCAGCGCACGACAUCUGAUUUAAAAGUAAUUUCUCAAGAUAAGGUGGAACUUCUACUGCUUAAAUAUGUCUUACCAGUCAGGGUUAGAUGGUGAUGCAAACCGCUUUGCGCAGACCAUAGGUUCAAACAUUCAGAAGAUUACGCAGCACACUGAUGAAAUCCAAAGCCUUGUAAACCAGCUUGGAACACCACAGGACAACACAGAACUUCGGCAACAGCU